AUUGAACGCUGGCGGCAUGCUUUACACAUGCAAGUCGAACGGCAGCAUAGGGGGCAACCCUGGGUGGCGAGUGGCGAACGGGUGAGUAACAUAUCGGAACGUACCUUAUAGAGGGGGAUAACGCCGCGAAAGCGGGGCUAAUACCGCAUAAGCUCUGAGGAGGAAAGUGGGGGAUUCGAGAGGACCUCACGCUAUAAGAUCGGCCGAUAUCUGAUUAGCUAGUUGGUGAGGUAAAGGCUCACCAAGGCGAUGAUCAGUAGCUGGUCUGAGAGGACGACCAGCCACACUGGAACUGAGACACGGUCCAGACUCCUACGGGAGGCAGCAGUGGGGAAUUUUGGACAAUGGGGGCAACCCUGAUCCAGCAAUGCCGCGUGAGUGAAGAAGGCCU
rnacentral:rRNA from 1 species